GAUGAACGCUGGCGGCGUGCCUAAUGCAUGCAAGUCGAACGAGAACUUCUUAGCUUGCUAAGUAGGGACAGUGGCGAACGGGUGAGUAACACGUAGGUGACCUACCCCAGAGAGGGGGACAACCAUUGGAAACGAUGGCUAAUACCCCAGAUGUUUUGGGUUUUAGAACCCCAAAACUAAAACUCCGGUGCUCUGGGAGGGGCCUGCGUCCCAUCAGCUAGUUGGUAGGGUAAUGGCCUACCAAGGCGAAGACGGGUAGGGGGCGUGAGAGCGCGAUCCCCCACACUGGUACUGAUACACGGACCAGAUACCUACGGGUAGCAGCAGCAAGGAAUAUUGCGCAAUGGGCGAAAGCCUGACGCAGCAACGCCGCGUGGAGGACGAAGGCCUUCGGGUCGUAAACUCCUUUUUUGGGGGAAGAGAUAAAGGACGGUACCCCAAGAAUAAGCCUCGGCUAACUACG
rnacentral:rRNA from 1 species